rnacentral:rRNA from 1 species
AACGAACGCUGGCGGCAUGCCUAACACGUGCAAGUCGAACGAGACCUUCGGGUCUAGUGGCGCACGGGUGCGUAACGCGUGGGAACCUGCCCUUAGGUUCGGAAUAACUCCCCGUAAGGGGUGCUAAUACCGGAUAAUGUCUUCGGACCAAAGAUUUAUCGCCUGUGGAUGGGCCCGCGUUGGAUUAGCUAGUUGGUAGGGUAAAAGCCUACCAAGGCGACGAUCCAUAGCUGGUCUGAGAGGAUGAUCAGCCACACUGGGACUGAGACACGGCCCAGACUCCUACGGGAGGCAGCAGUGGGGAAUAUUGGACAAUGGGCGAAAGCCUGAUCCAGCAAUGCCGCGUGAGUGAUGAAGGCCUUAGGGUUGUAAAGCUCUUUUACCCGGGAUGAUAAUGACAGUACCGGGAGAAUAAGCUCCGGCUAACUCCGUG